rnacentral:lncRNA from 1 species
CGUGGCUCUGUCAGUCUCUGUGGCUCUGUAGCCUUCGUGUCCGCGGUGUCCUGCUGCGCAGUUCCUUUUAUCCUUGGAAGUUGGAAUACGAACCGUCUAUAGACCACAGGCUACGUUCACUAACGCUCAUACUGUACAGAGAUGUGUAUAAAUUCUUAAUAAAGUUUUUAUUGUAAUGUGUUUUGUCAGGUCGAUAGUCAUUUCCAACGCAUAUAGAAGAGUUUAUCUAUUGGUCGAGUGUCGAGUGUCGAGGGUUAAAUGUCGAGGGCGAGGGUAAAAAGUCGAGGGCGAGGGUAAAAAGUCGAGGGUGAGGGUAAAAAGUCGAGGGUGAGGGUAAAAAGUCGAGGGUGAGGGUAAAAAGUCGAGGGUAAAAAAAGUCGAGGGUUAAAAGUCGCGAGUAAAAAGGCGAGGGUAAAAAGUCGAGGGUGAAAAGUCAAGGGUGAAAAAAAUAACAAAAAAAUACAAUAUUAAGGUCAGGUAACCGCUUUGGUACGGCCAUAGACGUCUACGUGUCUUCUCGGCAGCGUUGUUAUAUGAGCACUUCUAAACCAAAUAUAACCAAACCUAUAAUAUACGUUCCACGCACAUAUACUAUAUACGACACGUGGCGUAUUCUGCGUUUUAAAUGUAAUAUGCCACAGCGUGGCUUUGCGUCCU